AGACGUCUACAUUAGAUACCCCCUGUAGUCCCAGCCGUAAACUAUGCGCGUUAGGUGUAUCGGUGACCACGAGUUACCGAGGUGCCGAAGGGAAACCGUGAAACGUGCCGCCUGGGAAGUACGGUCGCAAGGCUGAAACUUAAAGGAAUUGGCGGGGAGCACCACAACAGGUGGAGCCUGCGGUUUAAUUGGACUCAACGCCGGGAAGCUCACCGGAUAAGACAGCGGAAUGAUUGCCGGGCUGAAGACUCUGCAUGACUAGCUG
rnacentral:rRNA from 1 species